GUCCCAUACUGUGUUGAUUACUUUAGCUUUGUAAUGUAUGCUGGAAUUAGAAAGAAUGUUGCCUCUGGCUUUGUUCUUGGGCAGAAUUGCCUUGGCUACCUAGGGUAUUUUGUGGUUCCAUACAAGUUUCAGGCUUUUCCUCCAUUUCUGUUAAAAAAUGCUUUUGGGCUUUUGAUAUGGAUUGCUUUGCAACUGUACUUUGAACAGUAGGGACAUUUUAACACUAUUUAAUUUUCCAAUCCAUAAGCAUGGGUUGCUUUUCCAUUUGUUUGUAUCUUUUAAAUUUUCUUCAUCAGUUAUUUUAAUAUUUGGUGCACUAACUUAACUUUGGUUACCAAAGUCAACUCCUAGUUGUUUUAUCCUUUUGGUUACUAUGUACAUGAUAUUAUCUUCCUAAUAUCCCUUUUGGACAGUUAAUUCUUGGUGUAUAGAAAUGCUACUGGUUUUUGUAUGGUGAUUUUGCAUCCUGAAAUUUUAUUGAAUUUGUUAAAUAUUUCCAGCCUUUUUUUGGUAGAGUCUUAGGGUUGUCUACAUAUAAUAUCACCUGUAAAUAGAUUUGGAUGCCUUUUAUUUCUUUUUCUUGCCUGAUUGCUCUGGCUAGUACUUCUAAUAUUAUUUUGAAUAGCAGUGAUGAGAGUGGACAUCCUUGUCUUCCUUCAGAUUUUAGAGGAAAAGCUUUUGUUUUCCCCCACUUAACAUGGCAUGAUAUGU
rnacentral:lncRNA from 1 species